rnacentral:rRNA from 1 species
AGAGUUUGAUCCUGGCUCAGAGCGAACGCUGGCGGCAGGCUUAACACAUGCAAGUCGAGCGGGCCCUUCGGGGUCAGCGGCAGACGGGUGAGUAACGCGUGGGAACGUGCCCUUUGGUUCGGAACAACUCCGGGAAACUGGAGCUAAUACCGGAUAAGCCCUUCGGGGGAAAGAUUUAUUGCCAAAGGAUCGGCCCGCGUCUGAUUAGCUAGUUGGUGAGGUAAUGGCUCACCAAGGCGACGAUCAGUAGCUGGUCUGAGAGGAUGAUCAGCCACACUGGGACUGAGACACGGCCCAAACUCCUACGGGAGGCAGCAGUGGGGAAUAUUGGACAAUGGGCGCAAGCCUGAUCCAGCCAUGCCGCGUGAGUGAUGAAGGCCUUAGGGUUGUAAGGCUCUUUCGUCCGGGACGAUAAUGACGGUACCGGAAGAAGAAGCCCCGGCUAACUUCGUGCCAGCAGCCGCGGUAAUACGAAGGGGGCUAGCGUUGUUCGGAAUCACUGGGCGUAAAGGGCGCGUAGGCGGCCUGAUAAGUCGGGGGUGAAAGCCUGUGGCUCAACCACAGAAUUGCCUUCGAUACUGUCGGGCUUGAGACCGGAAGAGGUAAGUGGAACUGCGAGUGUAGAGGUGAAAUUCGUAGAUAUUCGCAAGAACACCAGUGGCGAAGGCGGCUUACUGGUCCGGUUCUGACGCUGAGGCGCGAAAGCGUGGGGAGCAAACAGGAUUAGAUACCCUAGUAGUCC